UACGUAGGGUGCGAGCGUUAAUCGGAAUUACUGGGCGUAAAGUGUGCGCAGGCGGCCGAGCAAGUCGAGUGUGAAAGCCCCGAGCUUAACUUGGGAAUUGCGCUCGAAACUACUUGGCUGGAGUGUGGCAGAGGAAGGUGGAAUUCCAGGUGUAGCGGUGAAAUGCGUAGAGAUCUGGAGGAACACCGAUGGCGAAGGCAGCCUUCUGGG
rnacentral:rRNA from 1 species